rnacentral:RNase_MRP_RNA from 14 species
GAAGAAUCACGGCUUCGCAGUGCGCACACGGGGAGCUUGCUCCCAGAGAUGCUGUAAGGAAAGUCCCCGUGCCUUGGUGCAGAGAGUGCGAGUGCGGGUGACCACAGGGAGACCGCAGGGCUCGUGCCAGACUUCCGGCUCGUGCCAGACCUCCAGUGGUGAUGCUUCUCGUGGCGGGCGCGGGCCCUUAGCAGCAGCACAGACAUGCCGUGAGCGCUCAUGAUUGGAGCUGCGAGGAAACCUCCAGUGGUGAUGCUUCUCGCAGAGCCUUGGCGGCGGGCUCGGGCCCUUUGCAGCGCCACAGACAUGCCGUGAGCGCUCAUGAUUGGAGCGCCACGGCGCCUUGGCUUCGGGGGGCAGGGAAAGCACGGAUUCGCAAUGCGCGCACAGGGAGCUGAGGAAAGUUCCCGUGCCUUGGUGCAGAGAGUGCGAGUGGGAAACCACAGGGCUCGUGCCAGACCUCCAGUGGUGAUGCUUGUCACAGACAUGCCGUGAGCGCUCAUGAUUACAGAACGGGGCUCACUCU